UACGUAGGGGGCUAGCGUUGUCCGGAAUCAUUGGGCGUAAAGCGCGUGUAGGCGGUUCGGUAAGUCCGCUGUGAAAGUCGGGGGCUCAACCCUCGAAUGCCGGUGGAUACUGUCGGACUAGAGUACGGAAGAGGCGAGUGGAAUUCCUGGUGUAGCGGUGAAAUGCGCAGAUAUCAGGAGGAACACCAAUUGCGAAGGCAGCUCGCUGGGACGUUACUGACGCUGAGGCGCGAAAGCGUGGGGAGCAAACAGG
rnacentral:rRNA from 1 species